AUGGAUGGCGGCGUGCUUACACAUGCAGUCGAACGAUGAACCUCACUUGUGGGGGGAUUAGUGGCGAACGGGUGAGUAACACGUGAGUAACCUGCCCUUAACUCUGGGAUAAGCCUGGGAAACUGGGUCUAAUACUGGAUAUUGACUUUUCCUCGCAUGGGGUUUGGUUGAAAGAUUUUUUGGUUUUGGAUGGACUCGCGGCCUAUCAGCUUGUUGGUGAGGUAAUGGCUUACCAAGGCGACGACGGGUAGCCGGCCUGAGAGGGUGACCGGCCACACUGGGACUGAGACACGGCCCAGACUCCUACGGGAGGCAGCAGUGGGGAAUAUUGCACAAUGGGCGAAAGCCUGAUGCAGCGACGCCGCGUGAGGGAUGACGGCCUUCGGGUUGUAAACCUCUUUCAGUAGGGAACAAGGCUAGACGUUGUCUGGUUGAGGGUACUUGCAGAAGAAGCGCCGGCUAACUACGUGCCAGCAGCCGCGGUAAUACGUAGGGCGCAAGCGUUAUCCGGAAUUAUUGGGCGUAAAGAGCUCGUAGGCGGUUUGUCGCGUCUGCCGUGAAAGUCCGGGGCUCAACUCCGGAUCUGCGGUGGGUACGGGCAGACUAGAGUGAUGUAGGGGAGACUGGAAUUCCUGGUGUAGCGGUGAAAUGCGCAGAUAUCAGGAGGAACACCGAUGGCGAAGGCAGGUCUCUGGGCAUUAACUGACGCUGAGGAGCGAAAGCAUGGGGAGCGAACAGGAUUAGAUACCCUGGUAGUCCAUGCCGUAAACGUUGGGCACUAGGUGUGGGGGACAUUCCACGUUUUCCGCGCCGUAGCUAACGCAUUAAGUGCCCCGCCUGGGGAGUACGGCCGCAAGGCUAAAACUCAAAGGAAUUGACGGGGGCCCGCACAAGCGGCGGAGCAUGCGGAUUAAUUCGAUGCAACGCGAAAGAACCUUACCAAGGCUUGACAUGAACCCGGAAACACCUAGAAGAUAGGUGCCCCCACUUGGGGGUCGGUUUUACAGGGGGGUGCAUGGGUUGUCCGCCGCCUCGUGUCGUGAAAAUGUUGGGGUUAAGUCCCCGCAACGAAGCGCCACCCUUCGUUUCCAUGUUUGCCCAGCGGGGUUUAUGCCCGGGGAACUCCUGGGGAGAACUGGCCGGGGGUCCAACUCCGGAAGGAAAGGGGGGGGGAACGAACUUCUA
rnacentral:rRNA from 1 species